ACACCGGUGGUGAAGUGGAAUCACUCUUGGGGUGUGGUGUAUUCCGCCACCCCAAGAAUCGAGGGUUCGAAUCCCUCCCAGUGUU